GACGAACGCUGGCGGCGUGCUUAACACAUGCAAGUCGAACGGAAAGGCCCUGCUUUUGUGGGGUGCUCGAGUGGCGAACGGGUGAGUAACACGUGAGUAACCUGCCCUUGACUUUGGGAUAACUUCAGGAAACUGGGGCUAAUACCGGAUAGGAGCUCCUGCUGCAUGGUGGGGGUUGGAAAGUUUCGGCGGUUGGGGAUGGACUCGCGGCUUAUCAGCUUGUUGGUGGGGUAGUGGCUUACCAAGGCUUUGACGGGUAGCCGGCCUGAGAGGGUGACCGGCCACAUUGGGACUGAGAUACGGCCCAGACUCCUACGGGAGGCAGCAGUGGGGAAUAUUGCACAAUGGGCGGAAGCCUGAUGCAGCAACGCCGCGUGCGGGAUGACGGCCUUCGGGUUGUAAACCGCUUUCGCCUGUGACGAAGCGUGAGUGACGGUAAUGGGUAAAGAAGCACCGGCUAACUACGUGCCAGCAGCCGCGGUGAUACGUAGGGUGCGAGCGUUGUCCGGAUUUAUUGGGCGUAAAGGGCUCGUAGGUGGUUGAUCGCGUCGGAAGUGUAAUCUUGGGGCUUAACCCUGAGCGUGCUUUCGAUACGGGUUGACUUGAGGAAGGUAGGGGAGAAUGGAAUCCCUGGUGGAGCGGUGGAAUGCGCAGAUAUCAGGAGGAACACCAGUGGCGAAGGCGGUUCUCUGGGCCUUUCCUGACGCUGAGGAGCGAAAGCGUGGGGAGCGAACAGGCUUAGAUACCCUGGUAGUCCACGCUGUAAACGGUGGGUACUAGGUGUGGGGUCCAUUCCACGGGUUCCGUGCCGUAGCUAACGCUUUAAGUACCCCGCCUGGGGAGUACGGCCGCAAGGCUAAAACUCAAAGGAAUUGACGGGGCCCCGCACAAGCGGCGGAGCAUGCGGAUUAAUUCGAUGCAACGCGUAGAACCUUACCUGGGUUUGACAUGGAUCGGGAGUGCUCAGAGAUGGGUGUGCCUCUUUUGGGGUCGGUUCACAGGUGGUGCAUGGCUGUCGUCAGCUCGUGUCGUGAGAUGUUGGGUUAAGUCCCGCAACGAGCGCAACCCUUGUUCACUGUUGCCAGCACGUUAUGGUGGGGACUCAGUGGAGACCGCCGGGGUCAACCCGGAGGAAGGUGGGGAUGACGUCAAGUCAUCAUGCCCCUUAUGUCCAGGGCUUCACGCAUGCUACAAUGGCUGGUACAGAGAGUGGCGAGCCUGUGAGGGUGAGCGAAUCUCGGAAAGCCGGUCUCAGUUCGGAUUGGGGUCUGCAACUCGACCUCAUGAAGUCGGAGUCGCUAGUAAUCGCAGAUCAGCAACGCUGCGGUGAAUACGUCCCCGGG
rnacentral:rRNA from 1 species